rnacentral:rRNA from 1 species
UUAAGCCCCAGUAAACGGCGGCCGUAACUAUAACGGUCCUAAGGUAGCGAAAUUCCUUGUCGGGUAAGUUCCGACCCGCACGAAAGGCGUAAUGAUUUGAGCGCUGUCUCGACAAUGCAUCCGGUGAAAUUGAAGUACCAGUGAAGAUGCUGGUUACCUGCGCCAGGACGGAAAGACCCCAUGGAGCUUUACUCCAGUUUGAUACUGGGAUUCGGUACUGCAUGUACAGGAUAGGUGGGAGACGGAGAAGGAUGGACGCCAGUCUGUCCGGAGUCGCUGUUGGGAUACCACCCCUGUAGUACUGGGUUUCUAACCAGUUGCCAUGAACUGGCAAUGGGACAAUGUCAGGCGGGGAGUUUGACUGGGGCGGUCGCCUCCGAAAGGGUAUCGGAGGCGCUCAAAGGUUCCCUCAGAAUGGUUGGAAACCAUUCGAAGAGUGCAAAGGCAGAAGGGAGCUUGACUGCGACACCGACGGGUGGAGCAGGUACGAAAGUAGGACUUAGUGAUCCGGUGGUAUAAAGUGGGAUUGCCAUCGCUCAACGGAUAAAAGCUACCCUGGGGAUAACAGGCUUAUCACUCCCAAGAGUUCACAUCGACGGAGUGGUUUGGCACCUCGAUGUCGGCUCAUCGCAUCCUGGGGCUGAAGUAGGUCCCAAGGGUUGGGCUGUUCGCCCAUUAAAGCGGUACGCGAGCUGGGUUCAGAACGUCGUGAGACAGUUCGGUCCCUAUCCGGCGUGGGCGUAGGAUAUUUGAGAGGAGCUGUCCUUAGUACGAGAGGACCGGGAUGGACAAACCUCUGGUGUAUCUGUUGUUUUACCAAAGGCAUGGCAGAGUAGCCAAGUUUGGCAGGGAUAAACGCUGAAGGCAUCUAAGCGUGAAGCCCCCCUCAAGAUAAGAUAUCCCAUCUUCGGAGUAAGACCCCUUGAAGACUACAAGGUUGAUAGGCUUCAGGUGUAAGUGUGGUAACGCACUCAGCUGAGAAGUACUAAUAGGUCGAGGACUUAUCCUU